rnacentral:rRNA from 1 species
AUUGAACGCUGGCGGCAGGCCUAACACAUGCAAGUCGAACGAGUGGCGGACGGGUGAGUAAUGUCUGGGAAACUGCCUGAUGGAGGGGGAUAACUACUGGAAACGGUAGCUAAUACCGCAUACCAUCGGAUGUGCCCAGAUGGGAUUAGCUAGUAGGUGGGGUAACGGCUCACCUAGGCGACGAUCCCUAGCUGGUCUGCGAGGAUGACCAGCCAAAAUGGAACGGAGACACGGUCCAGAAGCCUACGGGAGGCAGCAGUGGGGAAUAUUUCGAAAUGGGCGGAAGCCUGAGGAAGCAACGCCGCGUGUGUGAAGAAGGUCUUCGGAUCGUAAAACUCUGUUAUUGGGGAAGCGGUACCUGAUCAAAAAGCCCCGGCUAACUACGUGCCAGCAGCCGCGGUAAUAC